GCGACCUUGGUGGCAUUUGGACGGUGAGUUAAUCAGCACUCAAAGAGAUCGGUUCACAUGUCUUUGACCGUUGGUGAAAUGGAUAAACACGUCCAAUCGAUUGCUGAUAAAAAUCAGAUUGUUAUCCAUCGUAGUCUAAACAGGCUAAGCCGCUCGUACUCAAUACGAGCGAGCGAAGAAAUUUAUAUCGCGCCUAUUAGAUCGGUUUUGAGUUAUGCGACCGCGCUACAUGAACUGGGUCAUCAGUUGGGUCCCCAUCAGCGCAGUUCUCAUGUGUUAGUGCGCGAAAAAGCCGCUUGGAAGUGGG
rnacentral:misc_RNA from 1 species